rnacentral:rRNA from 1 species
GACGAACGCUGGCGGCGUGGAUUAGGCAUGCAAGUCGAACGGUAUCAUCCUUUCGGGGGUGAGAGAGUGGCGAACUGGUGAGUAACACGUAGGUUAUCUACCCUCAAGACGGGGACAACCCAGGGAAACUUGGGCUAAUACCGGAUGUGAGCAACUUUUAGUUGUUUGAAAGGUGGCGUAAGCUGUCGCUUGGGGAUGAGCCUGCGUCCUAUUAGUUAGUUGGUGAGGUAACGGCUCACCUAGGCAAUGAUAGGUAGGCGGCCUUAACGGGUGGUCGCCCACACUAGGAUUGAGAUACGGCCCAGACUCCUACGGGAGGCAGCAGUCGAGAAUAGUCUACAAUGGUCGGAAGACUGAUAGUGCGACGCCGCGUGAACGAUGAAUCCCUUCGGGGUGUAAAGUUCUUUUAUAUGUGAGCAGUGCUUCUUAUAUUAACAGUAUGGGGAAGAGAUAUUAGCAUAUGAAUAAGCAACGGCUAACUCCGUGCCAGCAGCCGGGUAAGCU